GGAAGAGUUUGAUCCUGGCUCAGAUUGAACGCUGGCGGAAUGCUUUACACAUGCAAGUCGAGCGGCAGCGCGGGGCAACCUGGCGGCGAGCGGCGAACGGGUGAGUAAUGCAUCGGAACAUGUCCAUGUCGUGGGGGAUAGCCCGGCGAAAGCCGGAUUAAUACCGCAUACGCCCGAGAGGGGAAAGCAGGGGACCGCAAGGCCUUGCGCGAUUGGGUUGGCCGAUGUCCGAUUAGCUUGUUGGUGAGGUAAAGGCUUACCAAGGCGAUGAUCGGUAGCUGGUCUGAGAGGAUGAUCAGCCACACUGGGACUGAGACACGGCCCAGACUCCUACGGGAGGCAGCAGUGGGGAAUUUUGGACAAUGGGGGCAACCCUGAUCCAGCCAUUCCGCGUGAGUGAAGAAGGCCUUCGGGUUGUAAACCACUGUCAGAGGGGAUGAAAUGCAUGGGAGCUAUCUCCUGUGUUUGACAUAGCCUCAGAGGAAGCACGGGCUAAGUUCGUGCCAGCAGCCGCGGUAA
rnacentral:rRNA from 1 species